AGCACUAAGCUUAGCGGGUAAGCCUAGUGCUAGAAACACCAGGUUGGUGCGGGUUCGAAACCUGCAGUGCUG